GAUGAAGAACGCAGCGAAAUGCGAUAAGUAGUGUGAAUUGCAGAAUUCAGUGAAUCAUCGAAUCUUUGAACGCACAUUGCGCCCCUUGGUAUUCCAUGGGGCAUGCCUGUUCGAGCGUCAUUUGUACCUUCAAGCUUUGCUUGGUGUUGGGUGUUUGUCUCGCCUUUGCGUGUAGACUCGCCUUAAAAUAAUUGGCAGCCGGCGUAUUGAUUUCGGAGCGCAGUACAUCUCGCGCUUUGCACUCAUAACGACAGCGUCCAAAAGUACAUUUUACACUAUUGACCUCGGAUCAGGUAGGGAUACCCGCUGAACUUAAGCAUAUCAAUAAGCGGAGGA
rnacentral:misc_RNA from 1 species